rnacentral:tRNA from 1 species
GGGCCCGUAGUCUAGCGGUAUGAUGCCCGCCUCACGCGCGGGUGGUCCCGGGUUCAAAUCCCGGCGGGCCCACCA